rnacentral:rRNA from 1 species
GAUGAACGCUGGCGGCGUGCCUAAUACACGCAAGUCGAGCGAAUGGAUUAAGAGCUUGCUCUUAUGAAGUUAGCGGCGGACGGGUGAGUAACACGUGGGUAACCUGCCCAUAAGACUGGGAUAACUCCGGGAAACCGGGGCUAAUACCGGAUAACAUUUUGAACCGCAUGGUUCGAAAUUGAAAGGCGGCUUCGGCUGUCACUUAUGGAUGGACCCGCGUCGCAUUAGCUAGUUGGGGAGGUAACGGCUCACCAAGGCAACGAUGCGUAGCCGACCUGAGAGGGUGAUCGGCCACACUGGGACUGAGACACGGCCCAGACUCCUACGGGAGGCAGCAGUAGGGAAUCUUCCGCAAUGGACGAAAGUCUGACGGAGCAACGCCGCGUGAGUGAUGAAGGCUUUCGGGACGUAAAACUCUGUUGUUAGGGAAGAACAAGUGCUAGUUGAAUAAGCUGGCACCUUGACGGUACCUAACCAGAAAGCCACGGCUAACUACGUGCCAGCAGCCGCCGUAA